rnacentral:tRNA from 1 species
UCCUUGGUGGCUCAGAUGGUAAAGAAUCUGCCUGCAAAGCAGGAGAUCCAGGUUUGAUCCCUGGGUGGGGAA